rnacentral:tRNA from 1 species
GGGCCAUUGGCUCAUCUGGUAGAGCAGUGGACAUUCGAUCCGUUGGUCGCUGGUUCGGGUCCAGUACAGCCUUCC